GCCUGGCUGGCUUAGUUAGUAAAGCAUGUGGCUUUUGAUCUCAGGUUAUAAGUUUGAGCCCUGUGUUGGGUG
rnacentral:tRNA from 1 species